GGAGGGGUGGCCGAGUGGCUGAAGGCGCACGCUUGGAAAGCGUGUAUGCGUUAACGCGUAUCGUGGGUUCGAAUCCCACUCCCUCCGCCA
rnacentral:tRNA from 1 species